rnacentral:rRNA from 1 species
GCAAGUCGAACGAGAACGGGUUAAAGUUUACUUUAACUGUCAGCUAAGUGGCGCACGGGUGAGUAAUGUAUAGUUAACCUGCCCUCUAGAAAGGAAUAACAGUUGGAAACGACUGCUAAUGCCCUAUAUGCCCAUAAGACAAAAGUCUGCUGGGGAAACGCUUUAGUGCUAGAGGAUGGGACUGUAUGGUAUCAGCUAGUUGGUGAGGUAAUGGCUCACCAAGGCAAUGACGCCUAACUGGUUUGAGAGGAUGAUC